CUACGAAAGGGGCUAGCGUUGUUCGGAAUUACUGGGCGUAAAGCGCACGUAGGCGGCAUUGUAAGUUGGGGGUGAAAUCCCAGGGCUCAACCCUGGAACUGCCUCCAAAACUACAGAGCUAGAGGAUGUGAGAGGAUAGUGGAAUUCCGAGUGUAGAGGUGAAAUUCGUAGAUAUUCGGAAGAACACCAGUGGCGAAGGCGACUGUCUGGCACAUUUCUGACGCUGAGGUGCGAAAGCGUGGGGAGCGAACAGGAUUAGAAACCCUAGUAGUCC
rnacentral:rRNA from 1 species